UACGAAGGGGGCUAGCGUUGCUCGGAAUCACUGGGCGUAAAGGGUGCGUAGGCGGGUCUUUAAGUCAGGGGGGAAAUCCUGGAGCUCAACUCCAGAACUGCCUUUGAUACUGAAGAUCUUGAGUGCGGGAGAGGUGAGUGGAACUGCGAGUGUAGAGGUGAAAUUCGUAGAUAUUCGCAAGAACACCCGUGGCGAAAGCGGCUCUCUGGGACGGUACUGACGCUGAGACGCGAAAGCGUGGGGAGCAAACAGG
rnacentral:rRNA from 1 species